UACAGAGGUGGCAAGCGUUGUUCGGAAUUACUGGGCGUGAAGGGCGCGUAGGCGGUUCGUUAAGUCCUGUGUGAAAUCCCCCGGCUCAACUGGGGAACUGCACAGGAAACUAGCGGGCUUGAGUUCGGGAGAGGGAAGCGGAAUUCCGGGUGUAGCGGUGAAAUGCGUAGAUAUCCGGAGGAACACCGGUGGCGAAGGCGGCUUCCUGGACCGACACUGACGCUGAGGCGCGAAAGCUAGGGGAGCAAACGGG
rnacentral:rRNA from 1 species